UGAACGCUGGCGGCGUGCUUAACACAUGCAAGUCGCACGAGAACACCAUAGCUUGCUAUGGUAAGUAAAGUGGCGCACGGGUGAGUAACGCGUGGGUAAUCUACCUUCGAAUCUGGGAUAACAUUGCGAAAGCGAUGCUAAUACCGGAUGACAUUCAUGGAAUUUAGGUUUUAUGAAUCAAAGAUGGCCUCUCCAUGGAAGCUAUUGUUUGAAGAUGAGCCCGCGUACCAUUAGCUUGUUGGUAGGGUAACGGCCUACCAAGGCUACGAUGGUUAGCUGGUCUGAGAGGAUGAUCAGCCACACUGGAACUGACACACGGUCCAGACUCCUACGGGAGGCAGCAGUGAGGAAUUUUGCGCAAUGGGGGAAACCCUGACGCAGCAACGCCGCGUGAGUGAUGAAGGCUUUCGGGUCGUAAAGCUCUGUCAAGUGGGAAGAACUUGCGUCGCCCUAAUAAGGCGAUGUAUUGACGGUACCACUGAAGGAAGCACCGGCUAACUCC
rnacentral:rRNA from 1 species